ACGAACUCUGGUAUUGAUUGGUGCUUGCAUCAUGAUUUACAUUUGAGUGAGUGGCGAACUGGUGAGUAACACGUGGGAAACCUGCCCAGAAGCGGGGGAUAACACCUGGAAACAGAUGCUAAUACCGCAUAACAACUUGGACCGCAUGGUCCGAGUUUGAAAGAUGGCUUCGGCUAUCACUUUUGGAUGGUCCCGCGGCGUAUUAGCUAGAUGGUGGGGUAACGGCUCACCAUGGCAAUGAUACGUAGCCGACCUGAGAGGGUAAUCGGCCACAUUGGGACUGAGACACGGCCCAAACUCCUACGGGAGGCAGCAGUAGGGAAUCUUCCACAAUGGACGAAAGUCUGAUGGAGCAACGCCGCGUGAGUGAAGAAGGGUUUCGGCUCGUAAAACUCUGUUGUUAAAGAAGAACAUAUCUGAGAGUAACUGUUCAGGUAUUGACGGUAUUUAACCAGAAAGCCACGGCUAACUACGUGCCAGCAGCCGCGGUAAUACGUAGGUGGCAAGCGUUGUCCGGAUUUAUUGGGCGUAAAGCGAGCGCAGGCGGUUUUUUAAGUCUGAUGUGAAAGCCUUCGGCUCAACCGAAGAAGUGCAUCGGAAACUGGGAAACUUGAGUGCAGAAGAGGACAGUGGAACUCCAUGUGUAGCGGUGAAAUGCGUAGAUAUAUGGAAGAACACCAGUGGCGAAGGCGGCUGUCUGGUCUGUAACUGACGCUGAGGCUCGAAAGUAUGGGUAGCAAACAGGAUUAGAUACCCUGGUAGUCCAUACCGUAAACGAUGAAUGCUAAGUGUUGGAGGGUUUCCGCCCUUCAGUGCUGCAGCUAACGCAUUAAGCAUUCCGCCUGGGGAGUACGGCCGCAAGGCUGAAACUCAAAGGAAUUGACGGGGGCCCGCACAAGCGGUGGAGCAUGUGGUUUAAUUCGAAGCUACGCGAAGAACCUUACCAGGUCUUGACAUACUAUGCAAAUCUAAGAGAUUAGACGUUCCCUUCGGGGACAUGGAUACAGGUGGUGCAUGGUUGUCGUCAGCUCGUGUCGUGAGAUGUUGGGUUAAGUCCCGCAACGAGCGCAACCCUUAUUAUCAGUUGCCAGCAUUAAGUUGGGCACUCUGGUGAGACUGCCGGUGACAAACCGGAGGAAGGUGGGGAUGACGUCAAAUCAUCAUGCCCCUUAUGACCUGGGCUACACACGUGCUACAAUGGAUGGUACAACGAGUUGCGAACUCGCGAGAGUAAGCUAAUCUCUUAAAGCCAUUCUCAGUUCGGAUUGUAGGCUGCAACUCGCCUACAUGAAGUCGGAAUCGCUAGUAAUCGCGGAUCAGCAUGCCGCGGUGAAUACGUUCCCGGGCCUUGUACACACCGCCCGUCACACCAUGAGAGUUUGUAACACCCAAAGUCGGUGGGGUAACCUUUA
rnacentral:rRNA from 2 species